rnacentral:rRNA from 1 species
GAUGAACGCUGGCGGCGUGCCUAAUACAUGCAAGUCGAGCGAACAGAUGAGGAGCUUGCUCCUCUGACGUUAGCGGCGGACGGGUGAGUAACACGUGGAUAACCUACCUAUAAGACUGGGAUAACUUCGGGAAACCGGAGCUAAUACCGGAUAAUAUAUUGAACCGCAUGGUUCAAUAGUGAAAGACGGUUUUGCUGUCACUUAUAGAUGGAUCCGCGCCGCAUUAGCUAGUUGGUAAGGUAACGGCUUACCAAGGCAACGAUGCGUAGCCGACCUGAGAGCGUGGUGGGGCAAAAAGGGAAUGGUGCAGGGGCAAGAAGAAUAGGGGGUGGAGCAGUAGCGAAUGUUGGGAGAGGGACGGAAGUCUGACACAGCAAAGCUGAGGGAGAGAAGAAGUUUGUCCGAUCGUAAAGAGCGGUUGUAAGAGAAGAAAGAGUGAGAGAGUGGAAAGCUCCCAGUGUGACGGUAGCUGACCAGAAAGGGAAGGCUAACUACGUG